GAUGAACGCUGGCGGCGUGCUUAACACAUGCAAGUCGAACGAUGAAGCCCAGCUUGCUGGGUGGAUUAGUGGCGAACGGGUGAGUAACACGUGAGUAACCUGCCCUUAACUCUGGGAUAAGCCUGGGAAACUGGGCCUAAUACCGGAUAGGAGCGUCCACCGCAUGGUGGGGGCUGGAAAGAUUUAUCGGUUUUGGAUGGACUCGCGGCCUAUCAGCUUGUUGGUGAGGUAAUGGCUCACCAAGGCGACGACGGGUAGCCGGCCUGAGAGGGUGACCGGCCACACUGGGACUGAGACACGGCCCAGACUCCUACGGGAGGCAGCAGUGGGGAAUAUUGCACAAUGGGCGCGAGCCUGAUGCAGCGACGCCGCGUGAGGGAUGACGGCCUUCGGGUUGUAAACCUCUUUCAGUAGGGAAGAAGCGAAAGUGACGGUACCUGCAGAAGAAGCACCGGCUAACUACGUG
rnacentral:rRNA from 1 species